rnacentral:rRNA from 1 species
AGGGUUUGAUCAUGGCUCAGAUUGAACGCUGGCGGCAGGCCUAACACAUGCAAGUCGAGCGGUAACAGGGGAAGCUUGCUUCCCGCUGACGAGCGGCGGACGGGUGAGUAACGCGUAGGAAUCUACCCAGUAGCGGGGGAUAAGCCAGAGAAAUUUGGUCUAAUACCGCAUACGCCCUUCGGGGGAAAGCAGGGGAUCUUCGGACCUUGCACUAUUGGAUGAGCCUGCGUGAGAUUAGCUAGUUGGUGAGGUAAUGGCUCACCAAGGCGACGAUCCCUAGCUGUUCUGAGAGGAAGAUCAGCCACACUGGGACUGAGACACGGCCCAGACUCCUACGGGAGGCAGCAGUGGGGAAUAUUGCACAAUGGGGGAAACCCUGAUGCAGCCAUGCCGCGUGUGUGAAGAAGGCCUUCGGGUUGUAAAGCACUUUCAGUUGUGAGGAAAAGUUAGUAGUUAAUACCUGCUAGCCGUGACGUUAACAACAGAAGAAGCACCGGCUAACUCCGUGCCAGCCGCCGCGGUAAUAC